rnacentral:rRNA from 1 species
UACGUAGGGGGCAAGCGUUAUCCGGAUUUACUGGGUGUAAAGGGAGCGUAGACGGCCAGACAAGUCUGAAGUGAAAAUCCAGCGCUUAACGCUGGAAGUGCUUUGGAAACUGCCGGGCUGGAGUGCAGGAGGGGCAGGCGGAAUUCCUAGUGUAGCGGUGAAAUGCGUAGAUAUAUGGAAGAACACCAGUGGCGAAAGCGGCUCUCUGGUCUGUAACUGACGCUGAGGUUCGAAAGCGUGGGUAGCAAACAGG